UACGAAGGGUGCAAGCGUUGUUCGGAAUUACUGGGCGUAAAGGGCGCGUAGGCGGAUAAGUUAGUCAGGAGUGAAAUCCCGAGGCUCAACCUCGGAACUGCUUUUGAAACGGCUUAUCUUGAGUAUGACAGGGGAUGAUGGAAUACCCAGUGUAGAGGUGAAAUUCGUAGAUAUUGGGUAGAACACCAGAGGCGAAGGCGGUCAUCUGGGUCAUUACUGACGCUGAGGCGCGAAAGCGUGGGGAUCAAAC
rnacentral:rRNA from 1 species